rnacentral:rRNA from 1 species
GACGAACGCUGGCGGCGUGCUUAACACAUGCAAGUCGAACGCUGAAGCUCAGCUUUUGUUGGGUGGAUGAGUGGCGAACGGGUGAGUAACACGUGAGUAACCUGCCCCCUUCUUUGGGAUAACGCCCGGAAACGGGUGCUAAUACUGGAUAUUCACUGGUCUUCGCAUGGGGGCUGGUGGAAAGGGUUUUUCUGGUGGGGGAUGGGCUCGCGGCCUAUCAGCUUGUUGGUGGGGUGAUGGCCUACCAAGGCUUUGACGGGUAGCCGGCCUGAGAGGGUGACCGGUCACAUUGGGACUGAGAUACGGCCCAGACUCCUACGGGAGGCAGCAGUGGGGAAUAUUGCACAAUGGGCGCAAGCCUGAUGCAGCGACGCCGCGUGAGGGAUGGAGGCCUUCGGGUUGUGAACCUCUUUCGCUAAUGGUCAAGCCGCAACAAUGGUUGUGGUGAGGGUAGUGGGUAAAGAAGCGCCGGCUAACUACGUG